rnacentral:rRNA from 1 species
UACAGAGGUCCCAAGCGUUGUUCGGAUUCAUUGGGCGUAAAGGGUGCGUAGGCGGCGCGGUAAGUCGGGUGUGAAAUCUCGGAGCUUAACUCCGAAACUGCAUUCGAUACUGCCGUGCUUGAGGACUGGAGAGGAGACUGGAAUUUACGGUGUAGCGGUGAAAUGCGUAGAGAUCGGGAGGAACACCAGCGGCGAAGGCGGCCCCCUGGGCCGCUCCUGACGCUGAGACGCGAAGGCCAGGGUAGCGAACGGG